UGUAAGCACAUGCCUUAAAACGGUAAAGCCGCGAAUGGCUCGGUAUAACAGCCACUGUUUAUUAAACUCUAGUUAUCUACUUGGAUAACUGUGGCAAAUCUAGAGCUAAUACAUGCACGCAGGCUCGGACCUUUUGGGAAGAGCGCAUUUAUUAGACCAAAACCAAUCGGGCUUCGGCCUGUGUUUUGGUGACUCUGAAUAACUCAGUCGAUCGCACAGUCUUAGUACUGGCGACGUAUUUUUCAAAUGUCUGCCUUAUCAACUUUCGAUGGUAGGUUAUACGCCUACCAUGGUUAUAACGGGUAACGGAGAAUUAGGGUUCGACUCCGGAGAGGGAGCCUGAGAAAUGGCUACCACAUCCAAGGAAGGCAGCAGGCGCGCAAAUUACCCAAUCCCAGAACGGGGAGGUAGUGACGAAAAAUAACGAGGUAAUCCACUUUGUGGCUUGCCAUCGGAAUGGGCACAAUAUAAA
rnacentral:rRNA from 1 species